rnacentral:tRNA from 1 species
AUUACUUUGACAGAUAUAAAUGUAUUAAAUUUAGAAUUUAUUUAUGUAAAUAAAAAUUUACAAGUAAUA